AUUGAACGCUGGCGGCAGGCCCAACACAUGCAAGUCGAGCGGAUGAGUGGAGCUUGCUCCAUGAUUCAGCGGCGGACGGGUGAGUAAUGCCUAGGAAUCUGCCUGGUAGUGGGGGACAACGUUUCGAAAGGAACGCUAAUACCGCAUACGUCCUACGAGAGAAAGUGGGGGAUCUUCGGACCUCACGCUAUCAGAUGAGCCUAGGUCGGAUUAGCUAGUUGGUGAGGUAAAGGCUCACCAAGGCGACGAUCCGUAACUGGUCUGAGAGGAUGAUCAGUCACACUGGAACUGAGACACGGUCCAGACUCCUACGGGAGGCAGCAGUGGGGAAUAUUGGACAAUGGGCGAAAGCCUGAUCCAGCCAUGCCGCGUGUGUGAAGAAGGUCUUCGGAUUGUAAAGCACUUUAAGUUGGGAGGAAGGGCAGUAAGUUAAUACCUUGCUGUUUUGACGUUACCAACAGAAUAAGCACCGGCUAACUUCGUGCCAGCCGCCGCAGUAGUAC
rnacentral:rRNA from 1 species